CAAUGUGAGGGCAAUCUGACUGUGACAUCUGUCACUCCAUUGAUCACCACUGUUGAUUUGCCUAAUCUGGCUGACCAGAUAGCUGUCCCUUCCUCCCUUGUGGCUCCAUAUGCCCCCUUUUUGAAGCUGUAUACUCUGAAAAAGAAUUUUCUCUGUCAAAGGUAUAGGAGCUCCCUUGCUAGAACCUCCAAACAAGCUCUCACAGUCCUUGUGCUGGUGUGAGUCUGUAAUUCAAGCACUCACUUAAUUUGGAGGCUGAGGCAAAGCAUCUCCUUGAGU
rnacentral:snRNA from 1 species